rnacentral:rRNA from 1 species
UACCAGCACCCCGAGUGGUCGGGACGUUUAUUGGGCCUAAAGCAUCCGUAGCCGGUUCUACAAGUCUUCCGUUAAAUCCAGCUGCUUAACAGAUGGGCUGCGGAGGAUACUAUGGAGCUAGGAGGCGGGAGAGGCAAGCGGUACUCGAUGGGUAGGGGUAAAAUCCGUUGAUCCAUUGAAGACCACCAGUGGCGAAGGCGGCUUGCCAGAACGCGCUCGACGGUGAGGGAUGAAAGCGGGGGGAGCAAACCGG